UACGGAGGGUGCAAGCGUUAUCCGGAAUCACUGGGCGUAAAGGGUGCGUAGGCGGUUUAACAAGCCAGAGGUGAAAGGCAUUAGCUCAACUAAUGUAAGCCUUUGGAACUGUUUAACUUGAGUACAGGAGAGGUAAGUGGAAUUCCUAGUGUAGCGGUGAAAUGCGUAGAUAUUAGGAGGAACACCAGUGGCGAAGGCGACUUACUGGACUGAAACUGACGCUGAGGCACGAAAGCGUGGGGAGCAAACAGG
rnacentral:rRNA from 1 species